rnacentral:tRNA from 1 species
GCCAGCGUAGCUCAGAUGGCAGAGCAAUCGCUUCGUAAGCGAUGGGUCGAGGGUUCGAUUCCCUCCGCUGGCU